UACGAAGGGGGCUAGCGUUGCUCGGAAUUACUGGGCGUAAAGCGCACGUAGGCGGCGAUUCAAGUUAGAUGUGAAAGGCCUGGGCUCAACCCUGGAACUGCCUUUGAUACUGUCGAUCUGGAGUAUGGAAGAGGUGAGUGGAAUUCCGAGUGUAGAGGUGAAAUUCGUAGAUAUUGGGAAGAACACCGGUGGCGAAGGCGGCUCUCUGGACCGAUACUGACGCUGAGGCGCGAAAGCGUGGGGAGCAAACAGG
rnacentral:rRNA from 1 species